GUGGGCCUGUACAUGGUGAAUUCUUCUUCAGGCAGUAUCAAGAAUAUAAGGAAGACACCAGAAAGGCCUUCAAGAGUAAGAGAAAGCAUCCCACUACUUUGUUCUUUCUUAUUCACUUACUGUAAAUUGGAAGUGAAAGAAGGAAGUUCAUGAUGCAAUGCUCCUUAUGAAAGCAACUUAUAUAUCCUUGCGUUCUCUCUGCACUGCCACAACUUCUCUUCACUACAAUCUUAUUGAGCCUGUAAGAAGAGACGUACUUGAUGAUGAAAGAUCAACAGAUGGACAAGUAGGGAACUUUCAUACCUGGAAGGAAAAGGAACUGGAUUGCUAUCAAGAUUAGAGAAAGAAAAGAACUGACAAACAAAAAGCUGGAAAAAUACAGG